rnacentral:rRNA from 1 species
UACGAAGGGGGCUAGCGUUGCUCGGAAUCACUGGGCGUAAAGGGCGCGUAGGCGGCGUUUUAAGUCGGGGGUGAAAGCCUGUGGCUCAACCACAGAAUGGCCUUCGAUACUGGGACGCUUGAGUAUGGUAGAGGUUGGUGGAACUGCGAGUGUAGAGGUGAAAUUCGUAGAUAUUCGCAAGAACACCGGUGGCGAAGGCGGCUCUCUGGACCGACACUGACGCUGAGGCGCGAAAGCGUGGGGAGCAAACAGG